rnacentral:hammerhead_ribozyme from 1 species
AUCCAGCUGACGAGCCCCAUAUAGGACGAAACGCGCGUCCUCGAU